GCCAGACUCCUACGGGAGGCAGCAGUGGGGAAUAUUGGACAAUGGGGGGAACCCUGAUCCAGCGACGCCGCGUGAGUGAAGAAGUAUUUCGGUAUGUAAAGCUCUAUCAGCAGGGAAGAAAGAAAUGACGGUACCUGACUAAGAAGCCCCGGCUAACUACGUGCCAGCAGCCGCGGUAAUACGUAGGGGGCAAGCGUUAUCCGGAUUUACUGGGUGUAAAGGGAGCGUAGACGGCGAUGCAAGUCUGAAGUGAAAGACGGGGGCCCAACCCCCGGACUGCUUUGGAAACUAUAUGGCUGGAGUGCAGGAGAGGUAAGUGGAAUUCCUAGUGUAGCGGUGAAAUGCGUAGAUAUUAGGAGGAACACCAGUGGCGAAGGCGGCUUACUGGACUGUAACUGACGUUGAGGCUCGAAAGCGUGGGGAGCAAACAGGAUUAGAUACCCGAGUA
rnacentral:rRNA from 1 species